CUCCCGUUGUGGAGCACAGGCUCCAGACGCGCAGGCUCAGCGGCCAUGGCUCACGGGCCCAGCCACUCCGCGGCAUGUGGGAUCUUCCCAGACCGGGGCACGAACCCACGUCCCCUUCAUCGGCAGGUGGACUCAACCACUGCGCCACCAGAGAAGCCCAAAACACAGAUGAGAAGAUUGUGCUCAGAGAUGUCAAGCGACGUGGAAGAAUCAUCUAGCUAAUAGGAGACAAAUUUGGAAUUUGAAGCAACACAGAACAGAUGCUGCCCCAGAUGUGGAAGAUGCAGAUGUUUAAUUUCAGAAUAACUCCAAAUUCAUAACUGUAUAUGGCAUUCUACAGAUUCCUCAGUUUGAUUUUGAGGAGAAAAUAGUCCCCCUCCCCAAAACGUUGUUUAAAUAUUUUU